rnacentral:ncRNA from 1 species
CAUAGGCAAUAGCUUGGUUAAGGGAACCCAUCAGAGCCGUAGCGAAAGUGAGUUUUCAUAUGGAAAUAACACUGCUUAUGGACCCGAACGUCACUUAUUUAUCCAUGAUAAGGAUGAAGCUUGGGUGAAACUAAGUGGAUAUCUGAACCUACUAAUUUUGAUGAAUCAGCGGAUGAAUUGUGGUUUGGGGUGAAAUACCACUUGAAUCCACAACUAGCUGG